rnacentral:rRNA from 1 species
GGUUCAUUCAAAUUUCUGCCUUAUCAACUUUCGACGGCUGGGUCUUGGCCAGCCAUGGUGACAACGGGUAACGGAGGGUUAGGGCUCGACCCCGGAGAAGGAGCCUGAGAAACGGCUACUACAUCCAAGGAAGGCAGCAGGCGCGCAAAUUACCCAAUCCCGACCGGGGAGGUAGUGACAAUAAAUACUGAUACAGGGCUCUUUUGGGUCUCGUAAUUGGAAUGAGUACAAUUUAAAUCCCUUAACGAGGAACAAUUGGAGGGCAAGUCUGGUGCCAGCAGCCGCGGUAAUUCCAGCUCCAAUAGCGUAUAUUAAAGUUGUUGAGGUUAAAAAGCUCGUAGUUG